GACGAACGCUGGCGGCGUGCCUAAUACAUGCAAGUCGAGCGAGCGGCGGACGGGUGAGUAAUGUAUGGGGACUGCCCGAUAGAGGGGGCUAACUACUGGAAACGGUGGCUAAUACCGCAUACUAUCGGAUAACCCAUAUGGGAUUAGCUAGGAGGUGGGGUAAAGGCUCACCUAGGCGACGAUCCCUAGCUGGUCUGAGAGGAUGAUCAACCACGCUGGGCCUUAGACACACCCCAGACUCCUACGGAGGCAGCAGUGUGGAAUAUUGCACAAUGGACGCUAGCCUGAUUCAGCCAUGCCGCGUGUAUGAAGAAGGCCUUAGGUUUGUAAAGUACUAUCAGCGGGGAGGCGUUACCCGCAGAAGAAGCCCCGGCUAACUCCGUGCCAGCAGCCGCGGUAAUUC
rnacentral:rRNA from 1 species